rnacentral:lncRNA from 1 species
GGACGGGGCCCAAGCGGGGGUCGGAGCCUCAAGGCUGCGGCGGCGACGAGCUCCGAGCGGGACACUGAACGGCCCGUAUGCGCAAGAUAAGCACGGACUGAAUCAGGUACACGCACCUGCCGGGGACGCACUGACCGAGGUGCGGACGGCGGUACCAGGACAGGUAAAGCCGCGAACACUCGGACCUAAGAACUUGACAGGUACACCCUGCCUGAUGAAGCUACGUACGGCCAGGUGCGCAUCGAGUGAAUCAGGGUGAGAACCUACUUCUUCAUAAAGAGAAUUUGGAGGGAGCUUUUUGUUCUGCGGGGACAACAUCUGGAUUUGAAUACAUCCAUGCUCAAAAGGAGAUUUCUCAUAAUGGACCCAACUGAAAGCACUCAGAGUACAAGGACCGGUGAGCUUUCAAAAGGAGACACUUCGGGAGACUCGCCAGGGGCCCUCGUAUCCCCGGCAGCGCGAGUUUUGGAGGUCAGUGGAGGGCUCUCGCAUCAUGCAUGUAACUUUCAUACUCAAAAACUUACCUUCAUCCUGCAUCCCUCACCCCCCUGCAGAAACUUGGGGCUUGAAUUCAUUUAAAAACAUUUGCGGUUUCAGAAGCCUUCUUUUUAUUAUGAAGCUGCCAAGGAGAUCUUAGAAUGAAAGGCAUUUUUAGAGAUGAGAAAGAAGGAAGCCAGGCCAAGGCUGGGCCGGCUCUCAGCCGUGGGUCUGUAAAGGUGACACGUGGGACAUGGCCACCUGCAGACCCUGCAGGCGGCUGGGCAGAGGCACCCACAGGGACCUGGGUUUGAAUCCCUGCUCUGCCAGUCAUUUCCACAGCGAUCUUGGGGGAAGUUGUGUAACCUCUGGGCCCUGCGACGCCCUUUCCUGGAGCCUGGAGCUGGAACGAAGCCCCUUGGAGCCCUGACAUCAGAGGUGACGUUAGUCUUCGCAGGCAAUGACUCGGCGGAAUGUGAUGCCACUCCCUAACCCGUGUCCGGACUGGCAGAGUGUGUGCCGCCUCCCACCAGGUGGUCUGGCUGCUUUGAUGGAUCUCCUAACUUCUCUGCACCCCAGAGCCCUCAGUGCUGGCCAGACCUUCACUCACUCCUGGGUGACAACCCCGUUCUCAGAUAGUGGGUCCCACAGGCUGGCCUGUGGCGCCCCCUGCUGGUGACUGCAGGGAGAAGGAUGCCCUAAGCCAAAGGAAGUCCUUCCUGGGGUCUAAUCUCUACCUUUUGCAUGAUGAGGCAGCUGAGGUGGCUCGCUUUCUCCUCCACCCCAGAAAAUAAAGUCAUAUGGAG